rnacentral:rRNA from 1 species
CUGAUUAGAUAGUUGGUGGGGUAACGGCUUACCAAGUCAACGAUCAGUAGCCGGACUGAGAGGUUGAACGGCCACAUUGGGACUGAGAUACGGCCCAGACUCCUACGGGAGGCAGCAGUCGGGAAUAUUGCGCAAUGGAGGAAACUCUGACGCAGUGACGCCGCGUGCAGGAAGAAGGUUUUCGGAUUGUAAACUGCUUUAGACAGGGAAGAAUAAAGACAGUACCUGUAGAAUAAGCUCCGGCUAACUACGUGCCAGCAGCCGCGGUAAUACGUAGGGAGCAAGCGUUAUCCGGAUUUAUUGGGUGUAAAGGGUGCGUAGACGGGAAAUUAAG